rnacentral:miRNA from 1 species
AAAUCGAUUGCUGGGUAACUGAUUUCUCAAAGGAAUUUUGAAAUUUUUUUUGAAAGUUCCUUUGAGAAAUCGGUUACCGGUAACCGAUUU